GUCCACGCUGUAAACGAUGAGAACUAGAUGUUGGUAGGGGAACCUAUCAGUAUCGAAGCUAACGCGAUAAGUUCUCCGCCUGGGAAGUACGGCCGCAAGGUUGAAACUCAAAGGAAUUGACGGGGGCCCGCACAAGCGGUGGAGCAUGUGGUUUAAUUCGAUGCAACGCGAAGAACCUUACCUACCCUUGACAUCCUGCGAAUCUGGCUGAGAGGCUGGAGUGCCGAAAGGAACGCAGAGACAGGUGCUGCAUGGCUGUCGU
rnacentral:rRNA from 1 species